GCCUCGGUAGCGUGGUGGUCAAGACGCUCGCCUGGUAAACAGGAGGGCGUGGGUUCGAUCCCAGCCGAGGCA
rnacentral:tRNA from 1 species